CUAAUACUCUUUCAGUCCUAAAUUACUUGUCGCAGAAAUGAAUGUAUCUAGACUUAUUUUAAGUUCUAGGUACACCAAUUUCUUUCCAUUUCCGCGACAAGUAAUUCGGGACGGGGGGAGUACAAG
rfam:Triticum urartu cultivar G1812 contig601015, whole genome shotgun sequence.